UACGUAGGCAGCAAGCGUUGUUCGGAGUUACUGGGCGUAAAGGGUGUGUAGGCGGUUCUUUUAAGUUUGGUGUGAAAUCUCCCGGCUCAACUGGGAGGGUGCGCCGAAUACUGAGGGACUAGAGUACGGGAGAGGAAAGUGGAAUUCCUGGUGUAGCGGUGAAAUGCGUAGAUAUCAGGAGGAACACCGGUGGUGUAGACGGCUUUCUGGACCGACACUGACGCUGAGACACGAAAGCGUGGGUAGCAAACAGG
rnacentral:rRNA from 1 species